rnacentral:rRNA from 1 species
GACGGGUGAGAAUCCCGUCCACCGAUUGACUAAGGUUUCCAGAGGAAGGCUCGUCCGCUCUGGGUUAGUCGGGUCCUAAGCUGAGGCCGACAGGCGUAGGCGAUGGAUAACAGGUUGAUAUUCCUGUACCACCUAUAAUCGUUUUAAUCGAUGGGGGGACGCAGUAGGAUAGGCGAAGCGUGCGAUUGGAUUGCACGUCUAAGCAGUAAGGCUGAGUAUUAGGCAAAUCCGGUACUCGUUAAGGCUGAGCUGUGAUGGGGAGAAGACAUUGUGUCUUCGAGUCGUUGAUUUCACACUGCCGAGAAAAGCCUCUAGAUAGAAAAUAGGUGCCCGUACCGCAAACCGACACAGGUAGUCAAGAUGAGAAUUCUAAGGUGAGCGAGCGAACUCUCGUUAAGGAACUCGGCAAAAUGACCCCGUAACUUCGGGAGAAGGGGUGCUCUUUAGGGUUAACGCCCAGAAGAGCCGCAGUGAAUAGGCCCAAGCGACUGUUUAUCAAAAACACAGGUCUCUGCUAAACCGUAAGGUGAUGUAUAGGGGCUGACGCCUGCCCGGUGCUGGAAGGUUA